CGAGCUACGAAGGCGUUGCCGGCCUUGGACUUGGGGUACGUGGUGUUGAUGAGCCGCGAGACAGAGAAUGUCCUCUCCUCCAGCUGUGCGACCACCAUGCUCGAGCCGUCCGCACUGGAGGCGUAGAUGAUCCAAAGGCCUUUUUCAUCCACAGCUAGGCUGAAGGCUGGGAUUCAACCCAAGGCCCUGCACGGGUAUGCCAAGGCCCCCCCGAGGGCAGCAGUCCCAGGAUGUUUUGCGCUGUACCUGCUCGUGGGGAGUGCUGUUCACGGACUUUCUCAUCAGCUUUUCCCACCAAGAUCCUGCAGACUCUGGCCCCGGCCAUGUGGAACGUGGUAACUGUGGAGAGAUGGGGCGUUUCCUGUCCUCAGCCACAAUGAUCUCCGGCUUCCUUAGAAGAGCAGCCAUUUACUGUUAGCCUUGGCAGCUGACCUGGUGAUCUCGUGGCUUAGGUAAGCUCAGAAUGUGUUAAGCUCAUCAGACUGCCAGCCUCCACCAAGUCUAAGGAGAAGAAUGCUACAACAUCUGAAUCUAUGCACAAGAUUCACCUCACUUUGCUGUAGCCCACUACCUAAUGCUCCCGCUAAUGUAUCUGCCGAGUGUAUUGAUUUGUGAUUCUCUUUGUUCCUUGGCUAUAAAAGUUCAUGUAACCUCUUUCACUUUGGAAAUCAUCAUGUAGAGAAACUUGAAUCCAUAUUCCCGGCCAAGGUCACUCAUAUCUGGCUCAGAAUAAGCCACUUUCUUACUUACUUAUGGCAGAGCUAUUAUCGCGCAUGGAGUGGACAAUAGGAAGGACUCUGGACGGGUCUUAUAAUGAGGCUCAGUGAGACCCAGGGUACAGACAGCUACCGGUCCCUCAUUACAGAGCUUACCAGCAAGCUGGGAGGGUCCAGACGGAUUUGCCUUCAAGAACAGACCCCAAAACUUAAAUCACUCAGCCAGUGCAAUUCAGCAUUAACAACAAAAGCAAGAAAAAAAUCAUGUGAUCAUCUCAAUGAGUGCAGAAAAGGCAUUUGAUAAAAUUCAACAUCCAUGCUACUAACGAUUCUCAUCAAACUAGGAAUAGAAGGGAACUUGCUCAGUCAGAAAAAGAGCAUCUACGUAAGCUUAGUUCUAACACCAUCCUUCCCAGAGGGAGACCAAAUGCAUUCUCCUAACAUCAGGAUUGAGAGCAGGGCUUCUACAAUCAUCAGUUUUUCUGUUUUAUGGUACAGGGUUCUUGGAGCCCUGCACAAUGCUGGAUAAGUGCUCUACCGCUGAGCUACAUCUCUAGCUCUUUUACUUUUUUUUUUUUGGUACCGGGGAUCGAACUCAGGACCUUGGACUUCCGAGGCAGGCAACGGAACCACUGAGCUAAAUCCUCAGCUCUCUAGCUCUUUUAAAUUUCAAUUUU